GGAAUCUUCCACAAUGGGCGCAAGCCUGAUGGAGCAACGCCGCGUGAGUGAAGAAGGUCUUCGGAUCGUAAAACUCUGUUGUUAGAGAAGAACAUGCAGGAGAGUAACUGUUCUUGUAUUGACGGUAUCUAACCAGAAAGCCACGGCUAACUACGCGCCAG
rnacentral:rRNA from 1 species